CCUACGGGCGGCAGCAGUGGGGAAUAUUGGGCAAUGGGCGCAAGCCUGACCCAGCAAUGCCGCGUGAAGGAAGAAGGCUUUCGGGUUGUAAACUUCUUUUCUCAGGGACGAAGCAAGUGACGGUACUUGCGGCAUAAGCCACGGCUAACUACGUGCCAGCAGCCGCGGUAAUACGUAGGUGGCAAGUGUUAUCCGGAUUUACUGGGUGUAAAGGGCGUGUAGGCGGGAAGGCAAGUCAGAUGUGAAAACCAUGGGCUCAACCUGUGGCCUGCAUUUGAUACUGUUUUGCUUGAGUACUGGAGAGGCAGACGGAAUUCCUGGUGUAGCGGUGAAAUGCGUAGAUAUUAGGAGGAACACCGGUGGCGAAGGCGGUCUGCUGGACGGCGACUGACGCUGAGGCGCGAAAGCGUGGGGAGCAAACAGGAUUAGAUACCCCUGUAGUC
rnacentral:rRNA from 1 species